GACGAACGCUGGCGGCGUGCCUAACACAUGCAAGUCGAGCGAGGAAUUCACCUUCGGGUGAUGAACUAGCGGCGGACGGGUGAGUAACACGUGGGCAACCUGCCUCAUAGAGGGGAAUAGCCUCCCGAAAGGGAGAUUAAUACCGCAUAACAUUGCAGUACCGCAUGGUAUAGCAAUUAAAGGAGUAAUCCGCUAUGAGAUGGGCCCGCGGCGCAUUAGCUAGUUGGUGAGGUAACGGCUCACCAAGGCGACGAUGCGUAGCCGACCUGAGAGGGUGAUCGGCCACAUUGGGACUGAGACUCGGCCCAGACUCCUACGGGAGGCAGCAGUGGGGAAUAUUGCACAAUGGGGGAAACCCUGAUGCAGCAACGCCGCGUGAGUGAUGACGGUCUUCGGAUUGCAAAGCUCUGUCUUCAGGGACGAUAAUGACGGUACCUGAGGAGGAAGCAACGGCUAACUACGUGCCAGCAGCCGCAGUAA
rnacentral:rRNA from 1 species